ensembl:lncRNA
GCAGGAUUUAAGAGCGUUUCUUUGUCGGUUAAUUUACGUUUUCUUACCUUCGUAGUUGUGUAUAUAUGAUGCAGCAUAUAACUUAAAUCCUUUAUCUAAUUUGCUGGCGGGGGUAGUCCGUCACUCUGCAAAUCCGAUGAACAUCGGUGAUGUUCAAUUUUGGGAGCUCUUGUAGGCAUCGAGUGUAGAACGUCGCCAUGGUUUAACCGCACCGGAAGCACUGGAGCAGGACUACAUAGAACGCGGAAGUGUUAGUGCAAGUAGCGGUAGCUAGUUAGUUUUAAUAUUACUCUUAUUAUUCUUUCUGGGUCACAAAAUAAACGUUUAACAUAUUUUCAGGCGAGAAUGUAGCUGUGUAAACCUCAAAUAUCGGCUCAGUUUAUCAGGACACCACAUAUUUUCAAAAGCGCUCCGACGUUUUCGGAGACGUCUGUUACCCACUAGCUCGAUAGCUAGCCGGGGGCUAGGUCACUAGCGCCGUGAGAACACCGGACUCCCGGCAAAUUGUUUUCAAACCCACCGCCGUCUUUCGCGACUCAGGUUAAAUAUAUAUGAGUCACUUAGAUAAAUUAAAAAUGUUGUUGUUUGGCUUUUUUUUUUUUUUUUUUUUUUGUAUUUUAUUUGUUCCUGAGUAAAUCGGUUUGGCUGAGAUUAAAGUUAUAGUUUUUACACAGCUGAAUAAAUGUCAAGCAGACAGCUGAUUAUCAGAAGUGUGAGAUGCUGGAGAAUAUACUCCGGUGUCCUGUUAUAUUUUAGAUAGCAAGGAGUUUAUUAAACUUCACCGAAACAAUCUGCAAAUUUCAUUAAAAUUGAAUAAACUAUCAUCUUGUCUUUAUUUUUAGUUAGCACCUUAAAAGCUUAAAGCUGUAAGCUAAUGAUAGUUAUAUAAGAGCAGAUGCUGCUGGUGCAAUAAGCUGUAGUUUUACGUCCAGUGGAUGAUGAUCUGAUUAGUCGACUAAUCGCAUAAAUAAUCGGUGACUAGUCGACUAUCAAAAUAAUCGUUUGUGGCAGCCCUAUUGAAAACAGACAUCAGCUGAAGCUGUACUUUUCCUCUGACGCCUUUGUGCAACAGCUUCCUCUUCUCAGCCACCAACACAGACGCUGAUACCAUAAUACUUUACUUGUGAUAAGCUAAAGGAUGUGGUUAGAAUAAGACCAGUUCAACCAGGAAAUGCAGUAAAUGGCAAAUGAUGCUGCGAAUGCUUAUCUUAAACAUUUAUGGUGCAAAGCAUUAAGCUCACUGGCACUGCAACCCAACACUCAAUCAAUGUCAAAAGCCAUAUGCUGGAUUUUGGCCCUGAGAGAGGCUGCUGUGUCUCCUAGAUAGCCCUCAUGCUCCAUGUUCUUCAUGCAGGAAUUAGUGCUCCAACACCGUGCUUACUCAUAACAGCAGCUUAGAGGUGUUCGCAUGGUGACCUUAACACUAUUGCAAAUUAUCAGCAGUCUGCAACUUAGAGUGUAAAAUUAGCAUAUACAAAAAAAAGAAGAUAAAGAUAAUAUCUAAUAUUGAAAAGACUUACCAAACAAACUAAACUAAACAUCUUCAGUUACAGUGGGUUAGCAGCCUUAUCAGCUCUGAUCUACAGUCCCUCACCCACCCUUGCCUAUACAUGGCUCAUUUCCUCCACAGUGAUGUCUAGCAAGAUAAAGAGCAACACAAAGAAAAAAAAAAAAAAAGAAAAAAAAAAUCGAGGUUCACAUGUCACUACCAUCCCUCCCAUAUGACACAACAUGCUGUCUCAAUACUGCUCUACUGUAAAAGCAACGUGAGGGGAGCAUCAACAUCCGUUCAUGCCAGUUUAAACUGGUUUGAAAACAAUAGUUUCCCUUGUAUAUUAAGAAUCUAUGACAAAUUAUUUUGCACAGCAGCUUGUUAAGAUCAGGCUUUUUCAUUGUACUUGUGAGUUUGCUUAUUCCUGUUGCGAAGAUGAUCACCAACUUUAGUGAUGUGCUUCCUGAAUGAAAUGAAGAAAAUGACUAUGGGAAAUGUUUACGACAAAGCUCGGCCCGGUUUGGAAUUUGGAGACUGAUGCCCCUGAUAAUCCACAGCACACCUCCCUUUGCACUGUGACUACCCAUUCAUCUAUAAAGCAGUGAAGGUUAGCUGUGGGCCAGCUCUUCGAUUUUUUCCCCCCAUAAAUUCAGCUGAGAAGAGCCUCUUGUGGGUGGUGAGCCUGCAGGAAGAUGGGGCCAUGUUCCUUUUUUGGGCUGUGCUCGGCCAGGCCCCACGUUCCCCCGGACAAGCUGGAGGAGGCGGCUGGGGAGAGGGAGGUCUGGGCUUCUCUGCUUAGGCUGCCGCCCCCGCGGCCGGGCCCCGGAUAAACGGAAGAAGGUGGAUGAAUUGAUUCCUGUAUGUUCCUGUAUUGAAUAUUGUUGCAUCCAGUUUUUUCAUGAGUUUUACAAACAUUUUUUCCUUGAAUAAAAAGAGAAUAAAAGGUGCAUUGAGGUUAUAUAGGUAUAUAGAAAGCCAGUAACAGACUAGCCUUUCCUCUUAAG